CAGAGACAAACACCACAAACAGACCAGAACCAGAUGAGAGCCCAGAUCCUGCUCCAUCCUCAGAAACCAGACCUGAUCCAGCUGCAGGAGGAGACGCGGCUCCACCUGAGGAAACAAGACCGAACCAAGAAUCUAGAGUCACUGUUACGGCUGAGAUCAACCAUCAGAACGAGACGAACACCACAAACAGACCAGAACCAGAUGAGAGCCCAGAUCCUGCUCCAUCCUCAGAAACCAGACCUGAUCCAGAGGAAACAAGACUGAACCAAGAAUCUAGAGUCACUGUUACGGCUGAGAUCAACCAUCAGAACGAGUCAAACCCUCAAGAACCGGAUUUGGAACCAGCUACUACUCCAUCUAUAGGAACCACACAUGAGCCAAACUCUAAAACUGAUGAAGACGCUGAGAAUCUGAACAAGGAUCCAUCUGAAGAGGUCAACCAUGAAACUGGUUCUGGAUCAGCUGAGAAUGAUCCUCCAGAGACAGAGCGAGCUGAAGCCUCCUCUGGUUCUCCUGAUGGAGGCGUCUCCACCUCUGAGUCUUCCUGCGAACAAUGACUGUGACUGAACACUAAUAAGAACUACUGAAAAUGUCUGUUAUAUUUUUGCCCAGGUCUAGAUUUAAAUAUUAUUUAUUUAUUCAUUUUCUUAGAUUUGUGCCAGCAUGUGGAAGAUGAGCCUCAGGUAUAACAUGAAGAGUAUUUGUUCAGUAAAGUAGAUUUUUUACUACUUUAACCACAUUUUUAAGAGUGUAAUCACUGUAAAAAUGUUUUACCGCCAAAGACAACAAAGAUGUUUUCUCUUCAUGAUUUUUUUCUACUAACAACUAGCCUGAAACGUGUGUUUCCAUAGAUUUAUUUGUAGUAGACGUGUUUCUGACUCCAGUGUGAACACAGCAUCAGUGUUUGUUGUGUCAUCGUCAGAAGUUCCUCCUCAGACUCAGAUCUCUUUUGGUGCUAACAAGAGUAUCCCAAGAAACUGGAAUUAUCACAGGAGGAACACAAAACUGUAUUUUUUUGUAUUUGAUUUUGGGCUUUUUCACGUUUUAAUACAGUGAAACACUUUAAAACACUUGAAAUGUGAUUCUCUGAAACACUAGACGAGGAGAAAAUGUCUUACUUUCAUUUUUGUCUGAUUUUCAAAAGCAUAACAGACAUAUUGGGAUGUUGAGGUGUUACUAACAUGGUAAUAAACUUUAUAUGAACUCUUU